CAAGGGUCUACAUGGGCACCUGCCGGGUAAUAAUCCACAGCAGCCAUCUGGAGUGUCAUCGCGCCACAGGGCGCACCUGGAACCUGGAGCCACACCUAUAUUGAAAGUAAAAAUAACCCUUGGUAACAGUACACUACUACGAGAUUCUGCAAGCCACAUCUUAAUAGCCUUAUGCCUAUCCCACGCAUGCUUAAACUCCCUCCCGGUGUUAACAUCUACCACUUCAGCUGGAAUGCUAUUCCAUGCAUUCACUACCCUCUCCGUAAAGUAACACUUCCUGAUAUUUUUAAACCUUUGCCCCUCU